GGGGAAUAUUGGACAAUGGGCGCAAGCCUGAUCCAGCCAUGCCGCGCGGGUGAAGAAGGCCUUCGGGUUGUAAAGCCCUAUUGUUGGGAAAGAAAAGCAGCCGGCCAAUACCCGGUUGUUCUGACGGUACCCAAAGAAUAAGCACCGGCUAACUUCGUGCCAGCAGCCGCGGUAAUACGAAGGGUGCAAGCGUUACUCGGAAUUACUGGGCGUAAAGCGUGCGUAGGUGGUGGUUUAAGUCCGUUGUGAAAGCCCUGGGCUCAACCUGGGAACUGCAGUGGAUACUCGAUCACUAGAGUGUGGCAGACGGUAGUGGAAUUCCCGGUGUAGCAGUGAAAUGCGUAGAGAUCGGGAGGAAUACCGAUGGCGAAGGCAGCCAUCUGGCCUAAUACUGACGCUGAGGUACGAAAGCAUGGGGAGCAAACA
rnacentral:rRNA from 1 species